rnacentral:lncRNA from 1 species
CACACUUGCAUUUGACUACUUUGCAGACCCCAUAGUUGAGAUCUCUACUUAUUUCCAUCAAAUUGGAGUCAAUGGAACCAUAACAGAAUACCCGAGAACUGCAAGCAAAUAUAUGAGUAAGCAUUCAAUGCAAAAGCUUCUUCCAUUUCUCAGAGAGAAGACAAAUUAGAAGUAACCUUUGAAAAAGAGUGUUCUAAUCAUUUGCCUGUUCUUUAUUUCAUUGCUCCAGAAAACCCAUGCUCGGAUCUAAACAACCAGCAGCUAACUCACGUUGUCUUGCCAAUCGUGCCUGGUUCUCUACUCAACUUCAGCGGACUGGAACUACCACCCCCAAGUCAUCCGAGACCAUCUCUAGCUGUUAAAGAUAUAGGCGAUCCACCACUGCCUGCAGUGACUAAAGUUGAAAAUCCUCCAGCGGCCGGUCCUCCGUCUUCGUCUGAUUCAUCUGGUCUCUCGGCUGCUGUCAAUAUAUGUAUUUCCUUCACAGCUGCAGCUGGCGUGUUGCUGAGCUUACUGAACGACCCAUCAGAACUCUUGACUUCUAGCUGACGUUCCAUAUAAAUCCCCAAUUUUCAAUGUUCAGCUGUACAGAUUGCGAGUUAUUACAAUUUUAAAGCUAAUAGUAAACAUCAUGUUAGCAGACGCAUAUUCCGAACCCUAGACAUGGUUAUUCCUCAAAUUCAUUACUUGCUUACAACAAAAGUAAUUUCAACAUAGAACUCAUGCAUUGGCGAACAGAGGGCAGGAGAAAGGAAAACAGAGAGGCUCAGAUUCGCCUUUAAUCAGACAUUAGGAGACAGAGAUGAGCGAGGAAAUUACCAGCUGCCAUGGCUGCACAUUAGACACCGGAGUAUGACGACUGAAAACCCUAAACCAUAAUGGUUUUAGCUUACAGCCGCGCUCGGGUGAAAAUGUUGCCCAGCCAGGUAACAUAUUGGUACUACGCUUUCUCCGUCUCCGGAAGUUCUGAUCGGUGAGAACCACUGAAAAAUCGUUAUCGUCAUAGCCUCAUCCGAGAGAAAGAGAGAAGAGAAAGGGGGAAGACGAUGAACACUAUUAUUAUGUAUAUAUAUAUGUAUAGUCAAGUGACCAUUUGAUGCAUUUAACCCUACAGAUCUAUCAUCUGUGUUAUUGUGUACGCGUGUGGAUGCGUAAUCGCCGGCGGCGAGUAAUCAUCGGUUUCGCUAGCGACCAGAGAAAGGGAGGAAACAGAGUUGACCUUAGGCGGCCGGAGUUACCGUGGAUCAUGACGGUCGACGAGUUCUUUCCCUUUCUGGCUGGGAGCAAAGCCUCAUACAUAAACUAAUGAGCAGUUAACGGGUUUCAUACUGCUUCAGUCUUCAGCGUUUUAUAUGCAUUUAGACCGUGUCCGACCCUGAAUUGCUA